AGGGUUUUUAGGAAAGCCGCUGUCCUCCCCACAGUGUCCGGCCUCUUGUGUUUCCCAGGGAGACCCGGCACUGGAACCUCUGCUGUCCUUGAGAACACCUGGAGGCUCGAACAUCUUCAGUCUCUGUUUCCAAUGAGCCACCUGAACUGCUGCGGGUGCGAACAGGCUUUAAAAAUGGGUCCUGACCAGCCAACGGUGCUCGCCUGUCGAGACAGCCACAAAGGCACGUCCUUUUGUCAGUCUGGCAAGGGACGCCGCUCCACGCUCCUCUCUCUGCCAGACGACA